AAUCCAUAGGUUAAUGAGGCGAACCGGGGGAACUGAAACAUCUAAGUACCCCGAGGAAAAGAAAUCAACCGAGAUUCCCCCAGUAGCGGCGAGCGAACGGGGAGGAGCCCAGAGCCUGAAUCAGCAUGUGUGUUAGUGGAAGCGUCUGGAAAGGCGCGCGAUACAGGGUGACAGCCCCGUACACAAAAGCGCAUGUGCUGUGAGCUCGAUGAGUAGGGCGGGACACGUGGUAUCCUGUCUGAAUAUGGGGGGACCAUCCUCCAAGGCUAAAUACUCCUGACUGACCGAUAGUGAACCAGUACCGUGAGGGAAAGGCGAAAAGAACCCCGGCGAGGGGAGUGAAAAAGAACCUGAAACCGUGUACGUACAAGCAGUGGGAGCCCCACCAC
rnacentral:rRNA from 1 species